rnacentral:rRNA from 1 species
UACGUAGGUGGCGAGCGUUGUCCGGAUUUAUUGGGCGUAAAGCGCCCGCAGGCGGCUUGAUAAGUUUCAGGUGAAAUCUCCUGGCUUAACUGGGAGGGGUCCUGGAAAACUGUCAGGCUUGAGGCAGGGAGAGGGAUGUGGAAUUCCCGGUGUAGUAGUGAAAUGCGUAGAUAUCUGGAGGAACACCGGUGGCGAAGGCGACAUCCUGGACCGGUAUUGACGCUGAGGCGCGAAAGCCAGGGGAGCAAACGGG